CCUCGGCACCCAGUCCUCAUCGCCUCCUCCGUCCCCACAGCCCGACGUGCCGCUGGUCUUCCUCUCCACGCACAAAUCCCAGCUGGACGGGCUGCUGCUCUCCUUCCUCUUCUUCUCCAACGGCCUGGGGGUGCCCAGGGUGACAGUGGAUAGCUUGAACUGCAGCCCUUGCCUCCGGUAAGGCACGGGGAGCCCUUUAUCAGCCCGGCACGUGGCUGCUGCCCUGCACAGGGUGAAUGAGAUUGCCUGUGGGGAGGGCAGAAGGGUGGCAGGGAGGACGUGGUCCCAUUCAUGGGGGGCACCCACAGCAUUUUCCUCCCCAACAGGGCCUUGCUUCGCUGCCUGGGGGGGGUUUUCCUGCCUGUGGGGAUGGAGCAGGCAUCGAGUGGGCAGGACGGAGGGCUCCCAGCUGCUGUGCUUGCCUCGGUAAGUCCACCCUCCACAUUCACCCCCCGGGCUGGGAGGGAGGAACCCCCCCCAAGCACCCAAAGCACCCAGCGAAUGCUUCUUGGACCUGCAGCACCACGUGCUGGCAGAUGGGUGAGGCUGUUGGGCUGUGGUAAAGCCCCCGGCCGUGGGUGGUGGCAGCUCCUGCACGUCCCUGCGGUGCCACCGGCACCCCCAGCCUCACCCCCUCUGCUCCAGUACGUCGAGGAGGUGCUGAGGAGCCGCCAGCCUCUGCUGAUCUUCCUGGAGGAGCCCUGCGCCCCGCGGUGCCUUUCAGCUACUGCCCAGGAGUGGCUGGCCCCGGUGCUCCGAGCCGUGCGGGACGGCGCCGUCCCCGAUGUCCUCGUGGUCCCCGUGGGCAUCGCCUACGACCUGGCCCCCGACAGCCUCCAGGGCAGCGGAGCGCACGGCGCUCGGCCCCUCAGCC
rnacentral:lncRNA from 1 species